GACGAACGCUGGCGGCGUGCCUAAUACAUGCAAGUUGAGCGAUGAAGCUUGGUGCUUGCACCCAUUUGAAGAGCAGCGAACGGGUGAGUAACGCGUGGGGAAUCUGCCUUUGAGCGGGGGACAACAUUUGGAAACGAAUGCUAAUACCGCAUAACAACUUUAAACAUAAGUUUUAAGUUUGAAAGAUGCAAUUGCAUCACUCAAAGAUGAUCCCGCGUUGUAUUAGCUAGUUGGUGAGGUAAAGGCUCACCAAGGCGAUGAUACAUAGCCGACCUGAGAGGGUGAUCGGACACAUUGGGACUGAGACACGGCCCAAACUCCUACGGGAGGCAGCAGUAGGGAAUCUUCGGCAAUGGACGAAAGUCUGACCGAGCAACGCCGCGUGAGUGAAGAAGGGUUUCGGAUCGUAAAACUCUGUUGGUAGAGAAGAACGUUGGUGAGAGUGGAAAGCUCAUCAAGUGACGGUAACUACCCAGAAAGGGACGGCUAACUACGUG
rnacentral:rRNA from 1 species